rnacentral:rRNA from 1 species
UACGGAGGGUGCGAGCGUUGUCCGGAUUUAUUGGGUUUAAAGGGUGCGUAGGUGGCUGUUUAAGUCAGUGGUGAAAUACGGUUGCUCAACAAUCGAGGUGCCAUUGAUACUGAAUAGCUUGAAAUAAUUGGAGGCUACCGGAAUGGAUGGUGUAGCGGUGAAAUGCAUAGAUAUCAUCCAGAACACCGAUUGCGAAGGCAGGUGGCUACGAUUGGUUUGACACUGAGGCACGAAAGCAUGGGGAGCAAACAGG